AUGAAAUACUUCAAUUAUAUUAGCCUUACCCUUUUGCUCUUCUUGACUGGUGUUUCUGCCACUGUUACUAUGACCCAGCCUCCAGAAGCAUUGGUACUUCCAGGAAGAUCCAUUACUCUGACUUGUACAGUGUCAGGAUAUAAUAUCAACGACCACCAUCUGAGCUGGAUUCGUCAAUAUAAUGGCGAAUGCCUUGUUUUUAUCACAUCCUUCAGGUCUGGAUAUACCACGUACACUGCUAAUGAAUUUAAGGGCCGUGUUACCCCUUCCACCGACGGUUCGACAGCACAACUAAGGAUAGAUGCACUAAAAGUAGAAGAUUCUGCCACCUACUACUGCUCAAGUAGCACAAUGACUGAAUUUGGAAGUGUCACUGCCCAAAAUCUUGUAGAAGGACCCAACAUAUCUUCUUGA